rnacentral:lncRNA from 10 species
UUUACAAAAAUCCUUUGAAGCAGAUGCUGUCUCCAUGUUUCAGUCUUUUAGGGAGCCUCCAUCUUUGGCACUCUGGUUGUGAUCCGUGGACCAGCUGCAUGAGGUUACCUGGGAGCUUGUUAAAAAUACAGAACCUCAGUUCCACUCCAGGCCUUCUGAAUAGAAUCAACUUUGCAGCAAGAUCAUUGAUAUCUGUAUGCACAAUAAAGUUUUAGAAGCACUGUUCUAAAUCUCUCAAAUUCCUUAUCAGUAAUUCACAAACAUGUGGCCUGGUUACGUCAGAAUUUCCUGAUGUGUGAGUUAAAUAAAAUGCAAAUUCUUAGGCCCUGCAAAAACAAAAACAAAACCAAAAACCCCUACUAAAUGAGAAACUCUGGAGAUAGGACUUAGAGUUACGUAUUUUUAAAUGUUCUCUGUACAAUACUGUACAAUUUUAACCCCUGAUAUAAGGAAAGAGAAAACUCCAGUUUUAUAUUAUUAUGUACCAGUAAAAUGUUCUUUCUCACAGAAUAUUUAAAGUGAAAAUGUCACAUAGUUAGAUCCUGUUUUAUUGCUGAAAAUAUUUAAAGUGCCAUUAAGAUAUGAUGUUAAAGAUAUUUUGCAAGUAGUUUAAAACUUUUUAAAAUGACUGAAGGAAAAUACAUUGUACAGGUUCUUUUGUGAAAUAAAUAUUACAGUCUUGAGACUACUUGGACUUUAGAACUUGUAGUUAUUCCAAUAAAAAUGAGACAAAGCUCU